rnacentral:rRNA from 1 species
UGGGGAAUCUUGCGCAAUGGCCGAAAGGCUGACGCAGCGACGCCGCGUGGGGGCGGAAGGCCUUCGGGUUGUAAACCCCUGUUGCCCGGGACGAAUCCCUGGUUUCGACCAGGUUGCCGGUACCGGGUGAGGAAGCACCGGCUAACUCUGUGCCAGCAGCCGCGGUAAUACAGAGGGUGCGAGCGUUGUCCGGAAUCACUGGGCGUAGAGGGCGCGUAGGCGGCGCGGUCAGCGUGCGGUGAAAGCUCGGGGCUCAACUCCGAGUCGGCCGUGCGAACUGCCGGGCUGGAGCACACUAGAGGCGGAUGGAAUUCCGGGUGUAGCGGUGGAAUGCGUAGAGAUCCGGAAGAACACCGGUGGCGAAGGCGGUCCGCUGGGGUGUUGCUGACGCUGAGGCGCGACAGCGUGGGGAGCAAA